CCUGAAAAAUUUAUAUAGCAACGGGGUGAGCAUAAAGAGCUCAGCAAGUGUCUAACAUAUCCAUGGCGAUAGGAGAAGAUCAAGCAGGUUUAGUAUCAAGAUACAAAGUAGAAAUACAAAUGUUCAUUUGAAGUCAUCUCAUUUGAUAUAAAAUCACAAAGGUUUACCUCGUUCAAAAACAGGCAUUAGACAUAACAAUAGGAGAAAGGAAAUUGGAGCAUUUCAUUGGCAAAAGAAACAUUUAGGCAUGUAUCAAAUGGCACAUGAAGCAUUUAGGUAUAUAUCAAAGGCAUAAGAGUGUUUGAGAGCAUAACAAUGACAUACGAAACACUUCAAGGUAUAACAAGUGAACCGAGUAAUAAACACAAGCUUGUAUGUCAUUUUUGAUGUAGCAUGCAUUCCAUUUUUAUCCAAAGCAUAAUAUGAACUCAUAAACAAAGCUUUGGAUAUCAUAUCAAUAAACAUAGAUGGCACUGUGGGACCAAUACAUAAUGUGAUUCAUCCAUUUCUGGAUGACCACCAAGCAUAAGUCUCCCACGUCUGGGAGCUUCAUCCACCCACGUCUGAGUGAAGUCAAUGGGGCCGGCAGAGCAAUCGCGGGAUCUAAGCAUAACUCCCUUUACCAUUUCUGGCGAAGGUUCACAAUAUCCCACAAGACACCAGAGUACAAAAGGGUAGUAUGAACAAUAACAUUGACACAUAUCAGAAGCACAUGNNNNNNNNNNNNNNNNNNNNNNNNNNNNNNNNNNNNNNNNNNNNNNNNNNNNNAAAUUAUGACAGAAUUUGAAUGGUACAUUUUCUGAAUUGUUUGAGUGACCAAAUAUGCUCCAAAUCACUAAAAAUAGGUGUCAUUGGAAAUCUGUAUCAAUCUAUUUUCCAAUGAACUCAGAUUUAUAAUUUUUUUGAGUUCUUAACAGGAAGUUACAACAAAUAGAGUAAAGGAAGGUCAGAAAUGAUCAUCCCUGUUUUGCAGUCUUGAUAGAAUCGAUUUAAACAGAAGUUUCAGAAGGCAAACAUACUUCAAAAUUUCCAACUAGGUGUCAAAAGAAAGAUACACGAAUCUAGUUUCCAAAGAACUAAGAUUUCCUUAGUUCAGAAUUUUCUCUAGAGAGUUAUGAGCAAUUUAGUAACAGAAGGUCAGAAAUUUCAGUCCCUAUUUUGCAGAUCUGUAGGGUUAAUUGAAAUAGAAGGAUUAGUAGGCAUUUAAACUCCGAAUCAUUCAAUCCUCGUGUAAAAAUAAAGAUAUUUGAGUCUACUUUCAAAUGGAAUAGGUUUUGUCUAAAUCAGAGUUUAUUACAAAAUGUUGUGACCGAAACAUUGAAUAGAGGUCAGAUUACCGAAAAAUUUCAGAAUCAUGGAUUUGUAUCAAAAGGAAAGAACGGUUUAGUACUAAGCUGAAAUCUUUUGCAUUAUGAAGAAUUAAAAGGAAAACAAAGAUUAAGAAUUCUGUAGGAAGAGAUUAGAACACUUGCCUUAAACAAAUUUGAUUCCCAAAUGGGGGGAGUUGAUGCAAAACCUCAAUCAAAUCUUCUUCUUCAAUUCCUCUUCUUCUUCUUCCCUUCUCUUCUCUUCUUAAACUCACGUUGGAUGCAGCAUCUGAAGGUUACAUUUAGUUUCUCCUUUAAUCUCUUACUUAAUUACUUUUGUUUAACACAAGAGUUGCAAAGUUUCAAGGUGGCAAGCAUGCAUGAAAAGUGCUAGGUGUCAUCCUUAGGGCAAACUUAGGUGGCAUCAUUAAGCUAGCUAGUGACACAUGUCCACUAAUUUUUAUUUUAUCUUAUUUUUAUUUACUCAAUUCUGAAUAUUCUAUAAAUCAUAUCAAAAUUUUAAUAUUUACUCUUAGGUUCUUAGCCAUAAACUUUAAUAUAAUAUUAUUUAAUAUAAAAUAAUUAUUAAAUAAUCCUUAUUUUUACAAACAAAUAUUUUACUAAAUUUUCAAAAAAAUGGGGGAUGUUAAACUCUCCCCUCCUUAGAAUAAAAUUUAGUCCUCUAAAUUUGUCAUAUCUCUUUCGGCGAAAAGAUGAUGAUAAACCAGAUUUGUUGUCAAGGAAUCCCCUACAAUAGUAGUUACGUGUAGCAAAUAAUCUAGUGGUUUUGGUUGAAUGCCCAAGUGACAAGCAAAAUAUUGUGAAACAAAAGACAAGUUGGAGCUAGGAUCAAACAAAACUUUUGCAUUUCUAUUAGAAACAUGUAAAAUACCUUCAACCACUGAUUUAGAGGCUCUGGAAUCUUGUUCGGUGAUAGCAUAUACUCUAGCAUGGGCUGUCGGCUUAGGGAGUAGUGGCUCUUUCUUCUUGUUUAGUGGGCAGUCUCUAACUUUAUGAUCUAACUUUCCUCAGGCAAAACAGGCUCCAAUCACCCAAAAACACUCACUUGUUUCAUGAUUACGUCCACAUUUUGUACACGAUAGAGUUCUUUGCGAUGGAGUUCCUUUCUCAAAUCUAGGUACCUUUACCUUCUCGUUACUUAUUUCUGCUUCAUUUCCUCUCUUACUUUUACCAACAAACUUAUCCUUGCUAUUCUUGUCCCUGAUUUCUUGGAUCUCCGCCAAGUCUUUUUCAAGUAUGAAAGCUCUUUCUACUACAUCAGUGUAUACUUGGAGUUUCAAAGCUGAUAUCCGGCUUCUUAUUGUCGGCCUUAAUCCUCUUUCAAAUCUUCUUGCUUUCCUAUAUUCAUCAUCAAUCAUAUGUGUGGCAAAUCUAGAGAGCUCAGUGAAUUUAGACUCAUAUUUGGCUAUUGUCAAAUUUCCCUGGAUGAGAUUCAGGAACUCCAAUUCUUUCUGCUCUCUGAUACAAUCCGGAAAAUAUUUAUCAUUGAACUUUUUUGUAAAUACCUUCCAAGUGAUUGGCUCCUAUCGAGCUUCAGAAAUCCUCUUCAUGGUUCGCCACCAGUGCUCAGCCUCUCCUUCUAGCAUGAAGGUAGCCAGAGAAACCUUAUUAUCAUUUGGGCAAUUUAAAACAUCAAAUAUUUUCUCCAUCCGCAUCAUCCAUUGUUCUGCUACCAUUGGAUCAGGCUCACCACUAAAACUGGGAGGACUAAGCUUCUUAAACUGUUCAAUUCCCAACCCAGUCUGGUUUGAAUUCCCAACUUCAUCAUUUCUUCCUUGUCGGACUUUUUGUUGCAUUACUUGUGCAUCGACUCUAGAGUUUUCAUAAUUCCACUCAAUUGAUCAGAAGUAGAUGCAACAGGAGAACCAGAUGAACUCGUCAUCCUUGCUUCCUAAAAAUAACAAAAGAAAGCUUUUGAUUAGUCUCUAAAUAGAAAUCACUAAACCUCAAAAUUUAUUACACAUCUAGCAUAUCAAAAUUCUUAGAAAUCGUCAAAUCAUGCUCUGAUACCAACUUUGUCACGCCCCCCCCCCCGAAUUAUCACAUUCAGGAGGUGUGACCCUGUCUAAAAUCAAUUAUAUUAUAAUUCAUCAUCAAUUCCAUCCAGGAUCCAAUCUAACAAUUUGAGGAUACUAAGAAUCAUUCAAAAAUCAAUAUUCACAAUUCAUAAACCUGUACAUUACAUAAAUCAUAAUCCACUUCACUCAGAGAUCCACAAAAUCCAAAGACAACUCAACUAAACAUCAACCACAACAUAAAUCCCUAAUCAUAGAAGUAUAUACAAUCACAAAAAGAUAAUUAUUUACCAUGAGUUCUUAUCCUUACACAUCUUAAACUUAUCAUUCCAUACACAUGAGCGGUCCUUUGACAUUUUACAACACAUAAGUAUCAAUAGAUCCUUAACAUUACAUCAGAAGUAAAGUUUACUAUACAACAAAAACCAUCAUCCAACAAAGAUUAGCUCAAAAAUCUUCUAGCCUUUCACUGCUUUAACCCAAUUCUAGCUUUUCAGUGCGUGACAAGCUACCCUGAAAAAUUUAUAUAGCAACGGGGUGAGCAUAAAGAGCUCGGCAAGUGUCUAACAUAUCCAUGGCGAUAGGAGAAGUUCAAGCAGGUUUAGUAUCAAGAUACAAAGUAGAAAUACAAAUGUUCAUUUGAAGUCAUCUCAUUGGAUAUAAAAUCACAAAGGUUUACCUCUUUCAAAAACAGGCAUUAGACAUAACAAUAGGAGAAAGGAAAUUGGAGCAUUUCAUUGGCAAAAGAAACAUUUAGGCAUGUAUCAAAUGGCACAUGAAGCAUUUAGGUAUAUAUCAAACGCAUAUGAGUGUUUGAGAGCAUAACAAUGACAUACGAAACACUUCAAGGUAUAACAAGUGAACCGAGUAAUAAACACAAGCUUGUAUGUCAUUUUUGAUGUAGUAUGCAUUCCAUUUUUAUCCAAAGCAUAAUAUGAACUCAUAAACAAAGCUUUGGAUAUCAUAUCAAUAAACAUAGAUGGCGCUGUGGGACCA
rnacentral:lncRNA from 1 species